rnacentral:tRNA from 1 species
GCAUAGGUGGCAGAGUGGCUACGCGUCCGCCUGCAGAGCGGAUAUACGCCGGUUCGAAUCCGGCCCUAUGCU